UCGCCUGUUUUAUCAAAAACAUGUCUUCUAAGAUUAUAAUUAGAGGUCUGACCUGCCCACUGAGAUUGAUCUUGAAGGGCCGCGGUAUUUUGACCGUGCAAAGGUAGCAUAAUCAUUAGUCUUUUAAUUGAAGGCUAGAAUGAAGGGUUGGACGAGGUAUUGACUGUCUCAAUGUAAUUGAAAUUAGAAUUUAACUUUUAAGUUAAAAGGCUUAAAUAUUUUUAAAGGACGAGAAGACCCUAUAGAGCUUUAUAUUUUUAAUUUUAUUUAAAUUUGGUUGUUUGAUUUUAUUAAAGUGACUAGAUAUUUUGUUGGGGUGAUGGGAAGAUAAAUUGAACUCUUUUUUGCGAUUAACCACUGAUUUGUGAUUUAUUGAUCCAGUAUUAUUGAUUAUAAGACUAAGUUACCUUAGGGAUAACAGCGUAAUCCUUUUUGAGAGUUCUUAUCGACAAAGGGGGUUGCGACCUCGAUGUUGGAUUAAGGUAAAUUUUAGGUGUAGAUGUUUAAAGUUUAAGUCUGUUCGACUUUUAAAUCCUUACAUGAUCUGAGUUCAAACCGGAGA
rnacentral:rRNA from 1 species